rnacentral:rRNA from 1 species
CGCUGGCGGCGUGCCUAACACAUGCAAGUCGAGCGAUGAAGCCCUUCGGGGUGGAUUAGCGGCGGACGGGUGAGUAACACGUGGGUAACCUGCCUCAUAGAGGGGGAUAGCCUCCCGAAAGGGAGAUUAAUACCGCAUAAUGUAUUUUGUUCGCAUGAAUAAAAUAUCAAAGGAGUAAUCCACUAUGAGAUGGACCCGCGGCGCAUUAGCUAGUUGGUGAGGUAACGGCUCACCAAGGCGACGAUGCGUAGCCGACCUGAGAGGGUGAUCGGCCACAUUGGAACUGAGACACGGUCCAGACUCCUACGGGAGGCAGCAGUGGGGAAUAUUGCGCAAUGGGGGAAACCCUGACGCCAGCAACGCCGCGUGAAUGAUGAAGGCCUUAGGGUUGUAAAGUUCUGUCUUCUGGGACGAUAAUGACGGUACCAGAGGAGGAAGCCACGGCUAACUACGUGCCAGCCGCCGC